CGGUGAAUACGUUCCCGGGCCUUGUACACACCGCCCGUCACACCAUGGGAGUUGGUUCUACCCGAAGCCGGCGUAUCAAACCGCCGACCACGGUAGGGCAGCGACUGGGGUG
rnacentral:rRNA from 1 species